CUUCUCGGCCUUUUGGCUAAGAUCAAGUGUA
rnacentral:snRNA from 1 species